rnacentral:rRNA from 1 species
UCCAGACUCCUACGGGAGGCAGCAGUGGGGAAUAUUGCACAAUGGGGGAAACCCUGAUGCAGCGACGCCGCGUGGAGGAAGAAGGUCUUCGGAUUGUAAACUCCUGUCCUUGGGGACGAUAAUGACGGUACCUGACUAAGAAGCCCCGGCUAACUACGUGUCAGCAGCCGCGGUAAUACGUAGGGGGCAAGCGUUAUCCGGAUUUACUGGGUGUAAAGGGAGCGUAGACGGCGAUGCAAGCCAGAUGUGAAAGCCCGGGGCUCAACCCCGGGACUGCAUUUGGAACUGUGUGGCUGGAGUGUCGGAGAGGCAGGCGGAAUUCCUAGUGUAGCGGUGAAAUGCGUAGAUAUUAGGAGGAACACCAGUGGCGAAGGCGGCCUGCUGGACGAUGACUGACGUUGAGGCUCGAAAGCGUGGGGAGCAAACAGGAUUAGAUCCCCCUGUA